rnacentral:rRNA from 1 species
UGCGGUGGCUAUGGCCUAGGGGUUCCACCUGUUCCCAUCCCGAACACAGAAGUUAAGCCCUAGCACGUCGAUGGUACUUGGCUGGUGACGGCCCGGGAGAGUAGAUCGCUGCCGCAU